rnacentral:hammerhead_ribozyme from 1 species
AUCCAGCUGACGAGUCCGAAAUAGGACGAAACGUGCAUCCUGGAU